GACAGAGGGUGCAAACGUUGCUCGGAAUUACUGGGCGUAAAGCGCGUGUAGGCGGUUUCGCAAGUCAGGUGUGAAAGCCCAAGGCUCAACCUUGGAAGUGCACUUGAUACUACGGAGCUUGAGUACUGAAGAGGAGAGCGGAAUUCCCGGUGUAGAGGUGAAAUUUGUAGAUAUCGAGAGGAACACCGGUGGCGAAGGCGGCCUUCUGGACAGUGACUGACGCUGAGACGCGAAAGCGUGGGGAGCAAACAGG
rnacentral:rRNA from 1 species